rnacentral:tRNA from 1 species
GGGCCCUUAGCUCAACGGUUAGAGCAGGGGACUCAUAAUCCCUUGGUUCGGGGUUCGAAUCCCCGAGGGCCCACCA